rnacentral:rRNA from 1 species
CCUACGGGGUGCUGCAGUGGGGAAUAUUGGACAAUGGGCGAAAGCCUGAUCCAGCCAUGCCGCGUGUGUGAAGAAGGCCUUCGGGUUGUAAAGCACUUUCAGUGGGGAAGAAAGCCUUGGGGCUAAUACCCUCGAGGAAGGACAUCACCCACAGAAGAAGCACCGGCUAACUCCGUGCCAGCAGCCGCGGUAAUACGGAGGGUGCGAGCGUUAAUCGGAAUUACUGGGCGUAAAGCGCGCGUAGGCGGUCUGAUAAGCCGGUUGUGAAAGCCCCGGGCUCAACCUGGGAACGGCAUCCGGAACUGUCAGGCUAGAGUGCAGGAGAGGAAGGUAGAAUUCCCGGUGUAGCGGUGAAAUGCGUAGAGAUCGGGAGGAAUACCAGUGGCGAAGGCGGCCUUCUGGACUGACACUGACGCUGAGGUGCGAAAGCGUGGGUAGUAAACAGGAUUAGAUACCCUAGUAGUC